rnacentral:rRNA from 1 species
GAUGAACGCUAGCGGGAGGCCUAACACAUGCAAGCCGAGCGGUAUUGUUUCUUCGGAAAUGAGAGAGCGGCGUACGGGUGCGUAACACGUGUGCAACCUGCCUUUAUCUGGGGGAUAGCCUCUCGAAAGGAAGAUUAAUACUCCAUAACAUAUUUAACGGCAUCGUCUAAUAUUGAAAGCUCCGGCGGAUAGAGAUGGGCACGCGUAAGAUUAGGUAGUUGGUGAGGUAACGGCUCACCAAGGCGAUGAUCUUUAGGGGGCCUGAGAGGGUUCUCCACCACACUGGUACGGAGACACGGAACAGACUCCUACGGGAGGCAGCAGUGAGGAAUAUUGGUAAAUGGGUGCAAGCCUGAACCAGCCAUCCCGCGUGAAGGACGACUGCCCUAUGGGUUGUAAACUUCUUUUGUAUAGGGAUAAACCUACCCUCGUGAGGGUAGCUGAAGGUACUAUACGAAUAAGCACCGGCUAACUCCGUGCCAGCAGCCGCCGCCGUAA